rnacentral:rRNA from 1 species
UACGUAGGGUGCAAGCGUUAAUCGGAAUUACUGGGCGUAAAGCGUGCGCAGGCGGUCCGUUAAGACAGAUGUGAAAUCCCCGGGCUUAACCUGGGGGCUGCAUUUGAUACGUGUUGUCUAGAGUGAGGAAGAGGGUUGUGGAAUUCCCAGUGUAGAGGUGAAAUUCGUAGAUAUUGGGAAGAACACCGGUGGCGAAGGCGGCAACCUGGUCCUUGACUGACGCUGAGGCGCGAAAGCGUGGGGAGCAAACAGG